AUGUUACUGAGAUGCUGGCAGGACCAGACAAGCGGUAGUUAAUGAUGGUUUUGGAAUUGAAACAAGAUGGGAUGCAGACCACCUCAAAUUUACUCUGAGCUACUGGGCAGCUGGGUGCGGAUUCAGGCUGAGAUGGCAUUGAGAUGAUUGAUUUGAGGACCGACUAUAGGGGCAACCUUGGGAACUUCUCGUUGUCGUUCGGUGGCAGAGUUAUCAAAUCCAGGCUUAUUACGGUUUCACCAUGGCAGCUAUGCGUACAAGAAUGGCGGAAGAAGAUCUUGGCAAGUUAAUCUUUUUCGUAAUUGAUGUUCGGAUUCAUGCACUGGCUCCAUGGCUCCAUUCCUCCAGUUGCCAGGGCAUGGGCCAUAAUGAAUUUGUACAAAUGGCGUCAGAACUUUGCAGAGAUGAGAUUAACAUUAUUUGUCGCUCGCACUUGUGGAGUGGUUAUGAUAUUGAGGGGGUUGCCAGUACAAAAGAUGCAUCAGGGCUGCAACGAUCGUUUAUUGUGGUGGUAAUGCCCACAUCGCAGGAGGGGGGGGUUGUUGAGGGGGAAAGAAGAGGGAGGCGGCUUUGAAUCAAUUCUAUGUGCAAUUUUUUUGUCGUAUGUCCAUGAGAUCUUGACAACUACGUCAGACGAGAGAGAAUAUAGUCCUUGCUAGGCGAGAGAUGGUGAGAGAGCGAGGAAAGAAUGAAGAAAUCCUAAUAUAUUGUUUAUAGGUUACGGAUGUAGGGUCCGACAAACAUUAGAUUAGAAAAGAGUUAUCACGACGGAUAAACAAACUUCUGCUUCGAACCCGGAACCAGGACUGAUGGACAAAGUUUGGAGACAUUAAGCCGCCUGAGGAAACACCACCAUCAGCAGACGAAUUAGUCCAAGCCCUGUGUUUCCGAGCACGUGGAACUCAAUACAGAUAAACAACCGAAAAUUAUGACGAAUACAUGCGCCUUGGACCCUGAAUCAAGCACCGCUACAAAGAGACAAAAAAAUUUCCCGGAAUCAAGCACCAUUAGUGUUGGUCCGCUAUAUUAUACAUCCUACCGCACCCAAGCUGAUGCUCUCUUUCGCAAAAACCUCACCUACCAGAAAAGGAACUGGAAGACCAAUAGCUGCAUGGUUUGCUUCCCACUUACCCUUUGCGUGCUUCUUGUCGUUAUCCAAGUAGUCGUGAACUACCUGCUUGGCAGUGAUUUCCAGUGUGGGUGUAAAUGCGUGCCGAACACUGGUAGACCUGGGUGCACCAAGCAUUGCGGGGUUGAGUAUUCAAACCAAGAUCAAGUCGAGUUCUGUGAGGUAUCGUUUCCGCAAGGCUGGCCUGCCAUUUUGCAGGUGCCUCGGCCAGAGUAUCGGGCCGUCAGAAAUGCUGGUUCACCCGAGCUGCAAGACGCGACAUGCAGGAACGAUGGAAACUGCGAAUGUACCAUCCUUUACACAGGAUCCAACAAAACCCUGGCUGAUACCAUGGCAAGUUACUUGUUGAGCGACGGGCUUUUGAAUAGCAGUGAUCCCCUUUACUCACUGGCGUCAGUGGUUACGGGUACAGAUGCUCAUCCAUGGGAUACUCUUUUACUUGAGUCGGCAUUUGUAAAGCAAACGCCUAUCCAGCUUCUUCAAAAUACUUGUUAUGUUCCGGCUUUCAACUUGUCGAUUCCAAAUGCGGCUGGUGUUUCUGUAAAUAAAGAAUUUGAGUGUGUACCGACUACGGCGCUAUACUUGGGUAGUGCUAUCUCUAUUAAUGAUGAACUUUAUCGAGGCUUUCGAAAAGGCAAUCCUGCUAUGCAGAUAAAUGAAUUUCCAGUAGCUUAUGACUUCGGGGGUACAAGUGCGUCUCGUUUCGAUGUGAAAAUUUGGUUUAAUGGGACUUACAGCAACAAGACUUCCCAUGACCCUCCGAAUCUCAUUCGAGUUUCUCGGUCUCUCAACAUGGCUUCACAAGCUUUCUUGCGAUUUUUAAUGGGUCCAGCAGCACAAAUACCAUUGCUCUUUGUGAAGGAGAUGCCGAAACCCUCCAUGCAACUCCGACUUGAUUUUUCAUCGUUGCUUGGUCCACAUUUCUAUAUGUGGGUUCUGGGCUUUCUGUACCCAGUGGUUUUGACGGCGCUAGUAUACGAGAAGCAGUACCACCUCCGAAUGAUGAUGAAAAUGCACGGUCUUGGCGAUUUGUCGUAUUGGACGAUUACGUAUAUCUAUUUUUUAGUGCUCUUUAUGAUCUAUAUGUUCUGCUUCAUCAUGUUUGGCUCUGCUGUUGGGCUUAACUUUUUCCUGAAGAAUGAUUACGGCAUUCAAUUCGUCUUCGCGUUUCUCUACGUUAACAUGAUUAUCGCAUUUGGCUUUCUUUCAUCAAAUUUUUUUUGGGACGUCAAAACUGCCACAGGAGGUCUCGUCCUUGCAUUGGAGAUAAUACCAGCGUUUGCAACCUAUCGGGGCCUUUUUGAAUUUUCACAGUAUUCUUUCUCGGCUGUGUACGCGAACACGGACGGCAUGGGAUGGGACAACCUGACGGACUCAAAGAACGGUUUGAGCGACGUAGUAAUCAUUUUAUUCAUGGAGUGGUUUAUUUUCAUGCUUUUGACCGUUUACUUGGACCAAGUGGCUGUAUCCGAGAGUGGAAUAAAUAAACACCCCCUCUUCUUUUUAAGUUACUUCUUCAAGCGCAAGAUGGAAGGGAGUGCCCCUUUUUGCGAAGAAUCUAAGGCAAUGGCACACAUCAAUCCUGAAGAUGAUGAGCUUCCCGGUGAUCGUCCUGACGUUGCUCGUGAGAAAAAGUUGGUUCAGGAGUUGCGUUCUAGACCAGACAAGCUUUAUUCCAUCAUUUGCGACAAUCUUAAGCGAGUUUACCCCUCAACAGACGGGAAUCCACCCAAAUACGCUGUCCGGACAUUCUCACUGGCAGUGGCUCGAGGUGAAUGCGUUGGAAUGCUUGGACCUAAUGGGGCAGGAAAAACCAGUAGUAUCAACAUGAUGAUAGGUUUUUUGAAGCCAACGGCGGGCACAGCAUAUAUCCAAGGAAUGAAUAUUCUGACUGAAAUGGAUAGCAUCUAUUCUUGUAUGGGAGUUUGUCCUCAGCACGAUUUGUUGUGGGGACAGCUGACCGCCCAUGAGCAUCUCCUUUUCUACGGCCGCUUAAAAAACCUGAAGGGGGCAGAGCUCAAUUCUGCGGUGGAGAGAUCUUUAAAAAGCGUGAACCUUUUUGACAACAAAAUUGGAGACAAACAAUGUAGAAAAUACUCAGGUGGCAUGAAGCGCCGGCUGAGUGUUGCAAUUUCUCUUAUUGGAAAUCCACAAGUAAAAUUAUUUUUCUUCCUCUGUCCCUACCAUAAUCGAGCACGAUGGGUUUACCACGGUGGUAUAUAUGGACGAGCCAAGCACAGGACUUGACCCAGCGUCUCGGUACAACCUGUGGAGUGUGAUAAGGGAGUCUAAGCAAGACCGUGCCAUCAUCCUCACCACUCAUUCUAUGGAAGAAGCAGAAGCAUUGUGUGAUAGAGUAGGCAUUUUUGUGAACGGAGAGCUCCAAUGCAUUGGCAACGCGAAAGAGCUUCGACACAGAUUUGGAGGCCUGUACGUGCUAACGAUCACAACACCGGUGAACGAAGAAGCAGAAGUAAUUGGCUUGGUCAAGAAAUUAUCGAAGGAUACUAGAAAAGUGUAUGAUCUCGGAGGCACACAAAAGUUUGAGUUACCAAAGGCUGAAGUUAGCGUGGCGGACGUGUUCAUGACCGUGGAGCAAGCUAAGCAACGGUUGCACAUUCAAGCCUGGGGCCUCAGUGAUACCACUUUGGAAGAUGUUUUUAUCAAAGUCUCAAAAGCAGGUGGUGUGGUUGCUCUCACGUAGCACAACCCGAUCAUCGCAACUUGUGUUUCUUACUUGCAACUAAACGGUUCACCAUGUUCGCUCAAAAGACUAGUCUUUAAUAACUUGACCAUAGAAGUACUCAGAAGACUCUGCUUUUGUAGUGGGUGACUGCUAUGCAAGGGUUCAUAAGUGGUUGCAAUCAAAGUUAAGUACAUUGUGUAGUCGAAAGUUUUUUCAUUGCAAACAUUAUGAUGAGAUCUGGAUGCAAUUGAGUAGGACGCCGAAUAUUAAACAUGCAACUUGGGUCAUGGAGUGGUCACUCUUUUCGUGAACCUGGUCGUUGGUGUAACAACACUUUGCCUAUCUGGUGGGCGAAGGAGCCACAAAGUUUCAACUGUUCAGACCCUAGGCAAUUCUAAAAUUGGGCAAAAUGAUGAAGCUUGCAUUAAAAGCUAAUCAAGUGUUAUACGAGACGGUAUCCAUCAGAAUGAAUUAAAUAAUUUUUUGAGUUUA